CCCAGGAUUGUUGUUAACUGGUAGACACCUACUUGAUACAGAAUAUCCAAGCAAAAUACAAAAUCUGGGUUACAAGACCAUGAAGGUCUACUGGGUUGAACAAAAGUCUGAGGUUGGCGGCGGAAGCGACUCGAGGAAUUUCCAGUGCCCAUGGGACUCCAUGCCUAGAGGAACAACUGAUGUGGAUAAAUUCCUAUCUCAUAAGGCUGCUGUCCUUGACUCCUAGGUUUCGGGGUUGAUGACAUCGUGCUCCUCUCCGAACGCAAUCUGGCCAAGACAAUAGCCAGGGACAAGCCAGUGAGUACUUUGAAUGUACCGCAAACAUGAAUAAAAUAGUUAAGUUAAGAAGGUGAUAUGCAUGCAAAUUUCCACUAACAAUUAUAUCUUGCCAUUAGAGUUUAAUUCAUGGAUGCAUUGAUGAAGAUAUGCAAUGUUUCCACCAAUGUUUUAUAAACAAGCAAAAGAUGGCAAUAAUGAAUAAUAUGCUUGCCACAGUCGGGCGUCUGAGCGACACCGCAUAAAGGGCUUAUAGAUAUGACAAUAAGCAUGCCUAAGUCGGGCGUCUGAGCGACACCACAAAAAGGGCUUAUAAGAAAUGAUAAUAAGCAUGCCACGGUCGGGCGUCUCGGCGACACCAGAUAAAGGGCUUAUAUGAAACAAUGAACAUGCCACAAUCAGGCGUCUAAGCGACACCACAUAAAGGGCUUAUAAGAAAUAAUUAUAAAUAUUGAAUAUCCAGGAGGUAGAACCGUCCCAGGGAUAUCCAACAACAUAAUCACAGGGGUUAGUCAAGAAUAACAAUCAUAAUAUGAACCUGUCCCACAUCAUCAUAUGAUUUUCCACAUCCAUUAUUAUUAUCACCGUUUAAACUCCAAAGACCGACUCUAGGACCGACACUUGACUCGUCAAACAACGUCCUUGACCGGGACACGGCUACUCGAAUAGUUUUGACUCUGCAGAGGUGUACUCUUUACCCAUAGCUCAUGGUUUUCAAUAGUCGACAAGACUAAUCCGGCGUACGGCAUUUUAGAAGUGGACACUCAGAAUCAGCACACACUGAUUUUUCUCCGCGGAGCCCGGCUACACCCAGACUACGCUGCCAAGGCAAAACCAUAAGAAGGGGAGGUUGCGCUCUCGACUAGCAUGGGAUCAAAAAUUUAUAUCACAAGCUCACUGGGAAGGGCCAUUCCCUCCCGGUCCUAGACCAGGAACACCAAUGCCCCCUGACCGGAUGACUGGAUUUACUCGAGGGCCCUGGAUACCUUCAUUUUGGCCCCUCUAAUUGGUGUGUGACUGAUAAUAGGUCUACAACUGGCUUUACCGAAUCCAUUAUCCAGGAAACUGUGGUAGCAAGUUAUAGAAGUAUGACACGGACAAGACUCGAUCUAGGUCGAUAAUGGAGUUAACCAAGUUUUACCAGCAUCAUCGUGCACAUGUCAUGACCAGGCCAUAACCUAUCACGUUCCGCGUGACUAGGUUAUCCCAAGAUCUCUCAUAACUAGCACAUGCCAUCAUCAUGUUUCACCAUUUAUAUAAUAUGAGUAGCAAGUAUGAAGAAUGCAAGGUAUUAUUUCAUGCGAGAUCAUUAUCAACAUCACCUCAAAUCACGCGAUAUAAGCACCAACACAAUCAUCACACAACUUUAUGCAAAUAUGGAUUCAAGAUGCAUGCCUUAGGGGCUUGAGGAGGGUGAUGUGUACCCCAUAUCUUGGAGUAGGUAUCCUCUCUUCAAAUCCUAUUUUGACAAAUAUUUGAAUUAACACACAUAUUCAAAACAGCACACCAAAGUUGUUUGUAUAAAUUUUAAAUAAAUCCUAAAAUAAACUAGAUGAAUUCUAAACAAGUAGGAAAAAAAUCAAUUGAUUUGGAGUUUCCUAUAAAAAGUUAGAGCUAUUCUAAGAUUCUGUUUAAAUUUGUUUUUAAAAUCAAAACUAAAAGAAAACGCUUCGGCAGGAAAUGUGUAAGCGCGAGGGAGAGGCGUACUUGGUGGAAUGCGUCUCCACUUACGCGGGCGGCGGCUCGGUCCUGUCUCUAACGCGCAGGGCCCAACGACAGGUUUGACGCUGGUCAAACCGGUCGUCUCCCUCCUCUAGCCGACGGGAGGUGAGGCCUCCGGCGAGGCCCGCCGGUGACAUGGGCCACCGUACGGGCACCCGGGGGUAUCAGCGUGCUCAGGGGCUCACGACAGCUCGGGGAAGGGUACGACACAACUUCUAGGGGCUUGGGAGCUCCAGUGAUGACAAGGCCAGCGGACGGCGGUGCGUCCAGCAAGGGAGCUUCGCCCACGGUCUACCUAGCGCUCACCCGAGAGGGGGAAAAUGACCACCACACUCACGCGGUUCUGUUCCAAUGAAAAACAGCGGCGAAAGGGUAUGGUUGGUCACUAAUUUAGGUCGGCUUGGACGUGGCCAAGGUUUGCCGGAACUUGAGAAGAUGGUGGCCUAUGGUCAAAUUGGGUAGGGGGAAGGUCUCCUAUGGUUGUGAUGAAAAGGUUGUUGCACCAAAACAAGCUCGAAGGGAGGUUUAAAGAGGUGGCUCGAGGCGGUUCCCGGCCUCUUGCUGAUAAGCUCGUUGGAGACACCUUCCUGGCAGGGUAUUGGGGCGAGCUAGCGGUGCAGCAGGGCAACAGAGGGCUCAGUAGCAGGGAGAAGCGAGCACGGGAUGGACUGUGACCAGCUGGCGAUCAGAGGGGGCUUGGGCGGCGCUGGCCACUGCAGCAGCUGAGAAGAGGCCACGGCCGUCACGCUGCCGCUGCACUGCUUGCACAGGGGCGACGACCAACUGUCGGAGAGGUGAGGGUUGGACUCGACUCUGCAGCAGACCAAAAGGCAAGGGGCACGGGGACGCGACAACUCGGCUUCCGCACGUGCAAAACGUGCGCUCUGGUGCACCCUGAGCGUGCACGCAAGGUGUUCGACACCAUGCCAGCACAGGAAAAAGGGCACCAAUGCUCAUUCCAACACACAGGGGUAGGCUAGGGGGUAAAGUAGAGUGGAUGGACAUGAAUAUUUGGCUAGGGAAGAAAGUUGCCAGUGCAAACUCUAUCAAAAUGCCAAAUGUGGUCAUGCACAUAACCUGCUCGAUAGAAAGCUACUUGCAUCCACUUGCCUUUUCUAGUGCCCAAAAACUCCAGGUCAGGGUCUCUCUAGGUGCUAGCAAUUGUGGUGAGGUUAGUUUGGCAAAAAUCAAAACUAGCUAAUGCAAAAUUUGAAAAACACAAUUCUGGACGGAAACUUGGAGCUAUUAUCACAUGCACUUACUUUCAUCCAAUAGGGCUCAACUCCCGGGGUUAAUGUUUUAGUAGGGUGCCAAACAAGCAUGCAAACUAUCACAUCAAUUUGAGCAAGUAAAAGUAGGGUUGUAGUGCAAGGUACCAAACUAGACCAGAACAGAAAAUUGAAUGUUAUGCUAAAUUUUUCCAAAGUACACAGUGGGGUUUUUGCAUAAAAGUGAAUCUCAUGCUAUACUUGACAUCCCCAAUUUUUAAUGGAAUUUUCGAAAGAUUAUUUCUAGGGGUUGCAGUACAAACUCAAAUCUGGACCAGAUUAGAAAAGUAGUUAAUGUGCUCAAAAUAUUCAAAACACUUGGGUAGGUUUUUGCAUAAAUGUCGUCCACGGACAUCACAUGUCAUAUCCAAAUUUUUAUAUAAUUUUUAGAAGAAGUGAUCACAAGGCUGCGGUGCAAAACAGCCCUAUAAAGAAAAUAUAAAUCUGUUUUGAAUAAAAGAAAUCUGGGUAAAAAAGAUUAAAAUAAAAUAUCCCAAGAAUUUUCCAGAAGAAAGAAAUGUUUUUAUGCAAGUACUCAUGUUCCAACAUAAAUUAUCAAAAACAUUUACCUAGGGAAAACAUCCUUAUAAAGGAGGAAGGAGUGUUUCAGAGAUUAAUUAAAAAUCAAGAAAUUCAGAUAUUAAAUAGACAUAGCCAAAAUAAUAUUCCUAUCUAAAUAAAUAAUUCAAAAUGGUCUCAAGUAAUGGCUCAAGCAUUGCAAGAUCUUUGAAAAGCCACUUGAAAUGAAAAGUUUUUGGAAAGAGGCUUUGAAAAGAGUCAUGAAGCAAAUUAUUUUCUCAAUUUUUUUAUUCUAGGCAAUAUUUUAUUUCAAAAAAAUAUUAUUAAAUUAUUGGGGUGUGACAGGGUGUAUCCGGGAGGUCGCGAGGACGCUUUGGCCUCGCGAGUGUCCCUACCCCCGAGGCAUUAGGCGCCUGAUUCCUUUUUGGUCAUUGGUAAACCAUGUUGGCUUCUUCUUCUUUGGGAGUGAGGCUGAGUGUGUGCUGCCUGAGGAGGCCUGCAAGGGUAAGCUUCGGCCAGAGCCCCCAAGCGGGGGGCCGACCACCCAAAGAUGCAAGCAAGGUAGAACGUUAGGGUUCAAAGUGGGUGCGACAGAAACAACUAAAGGAUGCGUAAAUGAAAGUAGCGGCUGGGGAGUGCCCUGAACUCCUAGAGGCCUCAUGGCCCUGUGGGCGCCGUCGGGCAGAGUGAGCCAAAAAGUUACCUCGCAGCGGCCAGCAAAAAGUCACCUUGCGGCCAUGCCGCUGAAAUGCCGGAGGCGCCGUCGUCGCCCGAUCUCCUCGUUCCACAAUCGCGAUCCUCACGGGUCCGCCGUCUGCCGAGGCUCGGGAACUUCGCUUGACCCGAGCAUCUCCUCCUCUUCCUCACCACACCGAGGAGGCAAGGCAUGAGCAUGGUCUGCUAGUGCCGCCAGCAGGUAGCAGCUCCGUUCCCCAGCCCAAAGGGCAUGAGAGUGUCGGCGCCCGGCACACCCACCGAUGGUCAGCUUGCGCCGGCCAUAAGGGGCCUUGAGUCACGGCUCUGUCGAUUGCGAGUGCGUUGACGCAGAUGCGGGGCCGAUCGACCGCAUCGACGACGGCGAUUGCGAUUAGUGAUGCAGGGCAGUCCCCGGCUCGCGCGGCGUGGGCCUCUCGAAGUUCUUGGAUUGUUGUGAUGACGGACUCACAGGAGUUGGGCAUACGUGCGCUGGAGUGCGCCAUCGGGUUGUGCUCGAGCGCCACCCUCGCCUCACUGGCCAGGCCGGGAAUCUCCCCGGUGGGAGCCCCCAGUCCUGACCCAAGGGGGCACCGAGCGCACCUUCCUAUGCGAUGGGAGGCAAGACCCCAUCCCCAGGCACGGAGCCCGAAGUCCCAGGGCGCUCCGUAGGGAGGAGCUCCUUCUUCUUCUUGCAUGGGUGCCCGUGAGGUGGCUCGUCUUCUUCGUCAUCUGAGCGUUCCGCCUCCGCAGUGCGGUAGGCUCGAUCGAGUGUACAAACGACAUCCUUCUUGUCGCAUGCGCUGGUGAUGACGCCGCCGCUCCCUGGCAUCUUGAGGACGUUGUAGCCAUGGUGGUUCACUGCCAUGAACUUGGCGAGAGCCGGGUACCCAAGGAUCGCGUUGUAUGGCAGGUGGAUGUGCGAGACGUCAAAGACGAUGAUCUCAGUGUGGUAGUUCUUGCUCUCGCCGAAGGUGACUGGCAGACGCACCUGCCUGAUGGGCAUGGUGGACACUUUCGUGACUCCUGAGAAGGGCUUCGUCAGCAUCAGUUGUUCGUACGACAGCUAGAGUGUCUCGAAGGUCUCAACCGAGAGGACGUUGAGCCUCGCUCCACUAUCGAUAAGGGUCUUGGCGAUGAGGAUGUUGCUGAUGGUCGGGUGCACAUCAUGGGGAGCUUGUCGACCAUGAACGAGCACCUGAGCUAAUCACUUGGGUUAAAGGUGAUGGUGGUCUGGGACCAGUUGAGGGGGCGCAUCGCUUCAGGCUUCGGGAGAGCGACAUUCACCUCCCGGGCGAACUGCUUGAAGGCACGGUUCGAGGCCGGGGUCUGGGCGCCGCCUAGGAUAGAGGCCACCACCCUGACCUCUUGGAAGGCCCCACCCCUGUCAUCCUGUCUGUCUUCAUCCCUCCUUCUAGAUGGCGGAGGCAGCGGAGGCAGCCCAGCCUCACGAGGGCGAACCUCGCGAGGCCGACCGUGUCGUUGCCCCUUCCGAAGAUCGUCGCGCCAGUGGUACUCCUCAGGCUGGCCAUGCCAACGGUCUUCAUGUGGCUGCUCAUGCCAUCCCUAACGUGGCUCCCGGUCAUCCCAGCGGCCUCCACUACGACCACCGCCGCGCGCGGGGCCUCUGUCUCCCUGUCCGGGGCACGUGCCGAAGUGCUCGUUACAGACCAGUCGGAGCUCGUGGCACUCGGACGUAUCAUGGCCGCUGGUGCCGUGGAAGAUGCAAGUUGGCCCUCCUCCUGACAGACGCUCCCCCCUCGGCCGUGCUUCGCCUCAGGCUCGGUUGUGAGCACCACCGGAGCCUUGUGCUUUGCCUCCUUGGCCUUGGUCUUCUUCUCUUCUUGUUCCGCAGCCUGAGGCCCGAGGAGCAACAGGCGACCUUCUUCAGCCCUGGCGCACUUGUUUGCCAGGUUGAACAUCUCCAGUGCAGUGCUCAUUUCAUCACUCAUGGCGAGCUCCUCCUUCAUCUUGAGGUCGGUGACUCCUUCGGAGAAGGCCGAGAUGACUGCAUCGUCUGACGCCUUGGGGAUCUUGAGGCGCAUGGCCGUGAAGCGUUGUAUGAAAUUGUGUAGGGUCUCCCCCUCCUGCUGCUUGAUGCACCGCAGGUCGUUCACGGUGGGAGUGUGGUCGCGGGUGCCCUGGAAGUUGGCGAUGAAGCGCUCGCGUAGAUCAUCCCAGGAGGUGAUGGACGCCCUUGGGAGGUUGAGGAGCCAAGAGAGCGUGCCACCCUUGACCGCCAUGAGGAACCAGCACGCCAUGACCUUGUCGCCCCCUCCUGCCACCCUGAUACUCAGCGUGUAGAGUUGCAGGAACUCGGCCGGAUCCAAGGUGUCAUCGUAGCACGGGGGUAGGUCGGGCUUGAACUUGUAGGGCCACAUGGUUGGGUAGAGCUCAGGAGCGAUGUCGAGGCACCCCACCGGCUUGACGAGUGCAACACGCGCUGGGGUGACCUAGUCCUGGUGCUCCACUCGGUCUGCUUCGAGCAGGGCACGCUCGCGGUGCAGAUUUGCAGCGCGAGGAGCGCACGCGUCGGCGCGUGGCCGAGGAACCACAUGAGAGCUUGCUUCAUCUCCUGGCCCCAUCCUGGGUUCGCGAGGCCGGGCGCGGGGACGCGAUUCCUGCCUGGGAUCGAGGUGCGCGCCAUGCCACGGAGGUGGGGCAGCGUGUCUUGCUCCUCAUUGUUCGCCAGGGAUGGUUGGGGUCGAAACGAGCAGGAGAAUGUCGUGGGAUCACCGACAGCGGCGACAAGCUCCUCGAUGUGCUAGAGCCAGUCAUUGUGGCGGUCAGGGGCGGGCCGGUAGCAGAGCAGCUCGGUGGCCAUGGCAAGCGCGCGCCGUCCAUGCAGCAUCUCCGGACGGGCGCUUGAGGCCGACCCGGACGAGCGACAGAGUGGCGGUGCGGCCGUCGGGCUGCUCGGUAGCCGGCUUGGAGGAACCUUGCUGUGCUUGAACGUCGGGGCCCAUGGCGGCGUUCUCCUUGGGCGAUGGUGACCGGUGCACGCCGGCGGGGCACACGGGUGUCGGAUUUCGGGCUCCGUAAAACCCUAAGGAUUCGAAUACUUGGGCGUGUGCGAAGGUCUCUCCCUGCUCAGCCUCGCCUAGCCCACUACUCUAUGGAAAUGACGUAGGAUUCACUCGAUGGCGAGGGUAGCACAGAUCACAAUAGUUUACCCAGGUUCGGCUCGUUGCGAAGCGUAAAAUCCUACUCCUGCUUUUGGUUGAUUGCCUCUCACGGAGGUAGUGGAUGAACUAGUACAGUGCUCUCGAGCCUCUAGAGGUCAAGAAGCUAGGUGUAUUGCUAUAUGGUCAGACCGCACUCCCUCUACCAAGUGUUCUACCCUCUCUAUUUAUAGCGGAGGCCGGGUCCUCUUCCCUCAUAGCUUCGGCGGGAAGGGAUCCCACAACGGCCAAUUUUGAAGGGGAACAGGGGAACAUGCUCCCCUGCCCAAAGGUGGUCUUCGCGUGCAAAGUAACUCUGCGCGCUGCAGGGUUGGGCCCGAGGGUGACGUUUUCCCUGCUGGCGGGCGGCGGCGACUUCGUUGCACCAGAAGGGAAACCUUUGGAAGAUGCCUUUGGCACCCCUGUACGUUCCCGCCUCCUUUGCACUAAAGGGGAAACUGCUCUGUCCUGCCAUCUCCUGCUCGCUCGUCCUUUCAAGGCAUCACCCUUGACUCCUGAGGCCCGGCCUUGCCUCAGAAUAUCCGCCGCUCCGGAGGGGUCCUGAGGAGGCCCACUGCGGGUCUCGACACUGCUCCUCCUCGUGAGGCUUGGCCCCUCACGAGGGCCUUACCCUGAACGGUGUCGGGCCCGUUGGUUUGUUUUGGUGAGGUCGGCCCGCCCUAGGCCACCGGCAGGCAGGUCUGGGUACCCCCAUUCCCAGAACGCCAAUAGUAGCUCCCGGGCCCGUGGAGUACUCGGGUUUGCAGCGGGGCGGAGCCUCGGAGGGCAGCAUGAGACACCGUCGGCCCUCAAAUGCGUGUGGGCUAGGCCGGCGCGCAUCACACUGCUGGUGUCGGGUCCUCCUUGUCCUCUAUCUUCUCCGAUCCUGGACUGCACCCUCUCUGAGGACGCGGAUCUUGUCCACGUGCUUCCAUGGACCGCCGCCGAGUCCAGCGAGCACAUCCGAACCAUCAUCUAGCGUGGCGCCAUAGAGGAGCAGCCGGCGGCGGGGCGGUACCCCUUCUUCCUUCACAGUAUUUAUGCUGGGCCGGUGCUGCCUUUCUCCUGGUUCUUCACUACUGUCUUGGAUCACUAUGGCAUCCAAGCCCUUCAUCUCCAGCCCAACUCCAUCUUGCUUAUGUGUGUCUUUGCCUUCUACUGCGAGGCUUUCGUUGGCGUGCAGCCUUCGGUUGCCCUCCUCCGCCACUUUUUAAGCUUGCGCCGUCAUGCCGGCGCUCAUUUGUCGGUGCGUGUCUCCUUCAUGGCGGCCCAGAGCGGCAACAUGCUAUUGAAGGCCGGGAAGAAGGUGGAGAACUUCAGGCACCGUUGGGUCCUCAUGUGCCUCAAGGAUGCCAACCCUCGGCUGGAAGAGCCGAAGGAGUUGCCGGAGAAGACUUCCACGUGGAGCUCGCCGAAGCUCUCCGACCCUCGGGCUGUGCCCGUGCUGGAGCGCUUUUCCCACGACAUCGGCACGAAGAGGCUGGCCGGGGGAAUGAUAGUGAAGAAGUUCCUCGCGCAACGCUUGGCGCCUCUCUAGGCACAGUCCAGGCCCUUGUGGGAGUACCGGGCUGGCGACUACGAGCUGCGGCUCCGGUCCAGGGACCUCCCAACAAAGGACCUGAGUAGGGUCGUGGCGAUCUUGCUCGACGGCGACCGUGGUGACCUUCCCAAGUCCCUGGGUCCGUUAUACCGUCGCAACGAAUGGGCUGACUUGGUCGCUGCGAUGCAUGUCUUCAACGAGCGGGGGUUCCUCCCAGCUGAGGGCUCCGGUCCAGUGGAGGUGUCAUCCGGCAACACCUCCGGUGAAGUGGACUCGUAGAAGACCGUCGACGACCGCGUGGCGGGCAUGCCUCUCCCGUCGCAAUAUGUCCUUCUGCACGAGCUCGAGGAUGCUGAUGCCGCUAAUGAUACCUCCAUCGGGACCCCCUCGCGCCUAGCCAGGGCCCAUAGGGGGCCGUGCCGACUCCGCGCGCGAUGCGGUGUGCAUGCGUGCUUGCUUCCCAGAAGCUCAGGGCUAGCCGUCCCUGGCGCACCCCACCUCUACUGAUGAGAGAUCCAAGGGCGUCGAGCUCGCCCCCUCCGUGGGGGCCCCAGUUACCUCUGGUGUCCCCGGGGCCGAGAGGAGGAAGAGACGGCGCAAUGUCGAAGAGUAAGUUACCUGCUUGGACACGCCUUGUGCGUCUAUUGGACGUGCUUGGCUGAUUUUCCCCUUUUUACUUGAUGUCCAGGGAUGUCGUCUCGCCAAGGGCGAAGAAGAAGAAGACGGUCGUCAAGACGAAGGCGACUCCCGACGCCCCGCCUGCACUCGUCGGCGCGUCGCCGUUCGCAGGUGGGGAAGAGGAGGCUCGUGGGGCGGUCUCCCUGGCCUUGAUCGUCAAGCCCCCCGAGCCCCCAAAGCAUCCUGAAGCGACCCUGGGGAUACCGUCGCCCGGGGCGGUAGGCUUGCGAGGGCCCUCAAGCUCCCGAGGUGUCGAUGCCCGCGAUUGCUGAGCAGUCUUCAGGGCCCCCUAUUCGUCACGGUGCCGCCCCUCUGACGGCACCACCUGGGCCUGCGGUGGAGACCCUUCAUGAGGAGGUCCAGAAGACCUCGGUGUUCAUCCAAGGUGUCUUGAAUGUGGCCUUCGCCGCCCUGGGUGAUGUCGCAGCCGAGAUGAGGAAGGUCGAGAAGGAGGCCGAGGCCGCCCGCGCCGUGCGUGAGAAGGCGCUGAAGGAGGCCAAGGCGGCUAUCGAGCGCUAUGAAGAGGUGGAAGCCCGCCUGAACGCCCUCCAGGGGGAGCAAACCAAGCUGGCCGAGCAGCAUGGCUUGCAGGGGGAGGAACUUAACAUCCGCGAGGCCAAGCUUGUCGCCUGGGAGGAAGAACUGUCCCACGAGGCGAGCUGCCUCGGCAUGGAGCAGGUGCGCUUGGAGGAGCGGGAAAAGGAUGUCACCAAAAGGAAGGCUCUCCUUGAGGCCCAGGAGAAAGCUCUCGCCGUGGCCGAGGAGAGGAAAGCCGCAGAGCUGGCUUUCUUCCCCGAUGUUGAGCUCAGGCUUCGCAAGGCACUCCGCUCCCUCUGCCGGGACGAGUUCGACGAGCCUCUCGCCACCCCGGAGGACGGCUUCGCCGCACUCACGAAGGGGCUCGUCGCGGCGCUGGAGAUUGCCGUCACGCAGAUGGACCAGACCUUGGACAGCGUGUGCCGCGACCUCGUCUUCGCGGCUCCGACUCAUGUCUUCAGUCACCCUCAUCUCCGCGACCCCGGGUUCAAUCUAAGAUCUGUGAUAGUGUCGUUCCCCGCCGAGGCCCGUGACCGCGCCGCAGAGGCGGUGAAGGGUCAUGUGGAGGCACCAGUGAGGAGGUUCGACCGCGUCCUAGCUCCUUCGUUUGCAGGCACCGCUGGAGCCGAUGAUGGGGAAGACGAUGCUUCUGACAUCAAUGACCAGUCCCCUGCGGAGGGGGUGACCGGAGGCGGCUCCUCCUGAUUCCUUGUCCCUAUUAUUUUACUGCAAUUCACAUCGUGCCUCGUGGAGGCGUUAAACUUAUUUGCGUUUUUAUGAACUUGGUCGUGGUCUGUAAUAAUUGAAUGCUUGAAUAUUUUCCUCGCCUUGUUCAUGUCAUGUUUGUUGUGUUACUCUACAUCAGCAGGGCCCUCCCCACGUUUGCCUUCCCGCAAUUGAACCGACCGGAAACCAAGAACGGCCCAAAGGGGGAAGCGGCUACGAGCGCAGUUAAGCUCCUGAGUCACGAUGCUCAGGAGCCCCCCUUGAUGCGCGAGCUGCCCACAUGAGGAGAACGCGGCUAAGAUUUCGAAACUUGGGACAUCUUGAGCACUCUGUGUCGGCAAGGCCCGCCUCGCUCGUACCUCCCCAUGAUUGAACCGACCAGAAACCAAGGACGACCCAAAGGGGGAAGGGGCUACGAGCGCAGUUAGGCCCCUGAGUCGCGAUGCUCAGGGUCGCCCUUGACGUAUGAGUGACAACAAUGUUCCUCCUAAGAAGCCAACAACUUGAGACUCUCGAACUCCUUCUGCACUCUGCGUCAGCAGGGCCCGCCCCACGCGUACCUCCCCGCGGUUGAACCGACCAAAAAGGGCGGCCCAAGUGGGAAAGGGGCUACGCGCGUAGUCCAGGCUCCUGGGUCGCGAUGCUCAGGAGUCCCACUUGACAUACGAGUGACUCUAGUGUUCUUACUAAGGGAUCUGAAGUGAUUUGUCGAGCGCACUUGGCUCUGCGUCGGUAGGGCCCGCCCCGUGCAUACCUUCCCACGAUUGAACCGAGCAAGGACGACCCAAAGGGGGAAGGGGCUAUGGGCACAGUUAGGCCCCUGAGUCGCGAUGCUCAGGGGUCCCCCUUGACGUGGGAGCAGCUCCGUACCUUUAGCUCUUUGCCCCACGUGCUGGGCGUGGGUGAAGUCACGGGUGGACUAUGCAGAUCUCCUUGUCAGCCGAGGGUGUCGCCGCUGACGUGAUGCGUUGGUGCCAGCUGUGGGCACAGUCAUUGGCGGACUACAUUGGUGCCAGCUGAGGGCGUAGUCAUUGGCGGACUGCAUUGGUGCGAGCUGAGGGAAUAGUCAUUGGCGGACCGCAUUGGUGCCAGCUAAGGGCGUAGUCAUUCGCGGACUAUGUUGAUGGCCCCUAUCUGUACCCAGCGUGGAGCAUAGGUCUUCCACUAGGCGUGGGAUGGACCCCUCCACGUCCUCGGGGGCCCUCGGCGUAUACAACCUUGGCUCGUUAUUACGCGAGAGUGUCACGGUGGGGUGUAUAUGGGAGGUCGCAAGGAUGCUUUGGCCUCGCGAGUGUCCCUACCCCCAAGUCAUUGGUGGACUGAGCUUCUCCCCCAGCGCGGAGCAUAGGGCUUCCACUAGGCGUGGGAUGUACCCCUCCACGUCCUCGGGGGGCCUUGGGCGUAUACAGCCUCAGCUCAUUAUUACGUGAGAGUGUCGUGGUGGGGGUGUAUAUGGGAGGUCGCGAGGAUGCUAUGGCCUCGUGAGUGUCCCUUCCCCCGAGUUAUUGGUGGACUCAGUUGAUUUUGUUUGGGUCAUUGGCAAACCCUGCUGACUUCUUCUUCUUUGGGAGCGAGGCUCGAUAUCUGCAUGGACAAACUUCGACCGGAGCCCCCAAGAGGGGGCCCGACCGCCCGACAAUAUAUGCAAGGCAGAACGUUAGGAUUCUGAAUGGGUGAAACUGAACAACCAAACAAUGCAUAAACAAAAGUAGCAGCCGGAGGAGUGUCCUAAGCUCGGGGAGGCUGCAUGCCCUCGAGGGUACACUCAGAUGGGGUGAGGCAAAGUCACCUGGCAGCAGCCAACAAAAAGUCACCUGGCGGCCGUGUCGUUGAAGUACCGAAGGCGCCGUCGUUGCUUGAUCUCCUCUCUCCGCAGUCGCGACCAUCACGGGUCCGCGCCUCCCGAGGCUCGGGGCCUUUGCUUGGCCCGAGCAUCUCCUCCUCUUCCUCUUGGCGCCCCACCAGGCGGGGUAUGAGCAUGACCCGGUGGAUCCUCUGGUAGGUGGCAGCCGAGUUCCCCAGCCCGAAGGGCAUGAAGGCAUUGGCGUCCGGGUACUCCCAUCGAUAGCUAGCUAGCGUAGGCCAGAAGGUGUCGUAUGCCGCGGCUAUGUUGGUUACGUGCGCCUUGAUGUAGAUGCGGGUCCGGUCAACCGUGCCGAUGACGGAGACUCCGAUUGGUGGUGCAGGACAGUCACCACGCCGCAUGGCAUGGGCCUCUCGAAGUUUUCGGAUUGCUCUAAUGAUGGACUCGCGAGAGCUGGGCGUACGUGCUCUAGAGCGCGCCGUCGGGAUGUGCUCUAACGCCGCCCCGACCUCACUAAUCAGACUAGGGGCCUCCCCGGUGGGAGGCCCCACCUCUGACCCAAGGGGGGCGCCGAGCGCGCAUCCCUAUGCGAUGGGGGCAUGGCCCCGUCCCCGGGCACGGAGCCCGAAGCCCCGAGACACUUCGUGGGGAGGAGCUCUUUCUUCUUGCGUGGGUCCUCGCGAGGCAGUUCAUCUUCUUCAUCGUUCGAGUGAUCUGCCGCAGCCGCGCGGUAGGCGCGCUCGAGUGUACAGACGACAUCCUUCUCGGCGUAGGGGAUGGUGAUGACGUAGUCACUCCCUGGCAUCUUGAGGACAUUGUAGGCAUGGUGGAUCACCGCCAUGAACUUGGCGAGUGCCGGGUAUCCGAGGAUUGCGUUGUAUGGUAGGUGGAUGUGCGCAACGUCGAAGACGAUGAUCUCAGUAUGGUAGUUCUUACUCUCACUAAAGGUGACGGGCAGAUGCACUUGCCCAAUGGGCAUGGUGGACCCUCUCUUACUCCUGAGAAGGGCUUGGUCGGCAUGAGCUGUUUGUACGACAACUAGAGUUUCUCGAGGGUCUUGACUGAGAGGACGUUGAGCCCGGCUCCACUGUCAAUGUGGGUCUAGGUGACGAGGACGUUGCUGAUGGUUGGGGUGCACAUCAUUUGGAGUUUGCCGGCCAUGAAUGAGCACCUGAACUGGUCGCUUGGGUCGAAGGUGAUGGUGGUCUGGGACAAGUUGAGGGGAUGCAUUGCUUCUGGCCUCUUGAGGGCGACAUUUACCUCCCGGGCAAACUGCUUGAAGGCACGGUUGGAGGCUGGAGUCCGGGCACCUCGCAGGAUGGAGGCCACCACCCUUGCCUCCUGGAAGCCCCCAGCCCCAUCAUCCUACUUGUCUUCAUCCCUCCUCCUGGGUGGCUGAGGCAACGGGGGUAGCCCGGCCUCCCGAGGGCGAGCCUCACGAGGUUGACCAUGUUGUUGCCCCUCCUGAGGGUUAUCAUGCCAGCGGUCCUCCUGAGGCGGUUCACGCCACCCCUAACGUGGCUCACGGUCAACCCAGCGGCCCGUGUUGCGGCAUCCUCCGCGUGUGGGGCUUCUGUCGAACCGUCUGGGGCGCAUGUUGAAGUGCUCGGCGGGGACCAGACGGAGUUCUUGACAUUUAGAGAUAUCAUGGCCACUGGUGCCAUGGAAGAUGCACAUCGGCCCCCCUCCGGAAGGGCGCUCACCCCCUCGGACAUGCUCCGCCUCGAGCUCGGCGGCCAGUACCAUCGGGGCCUUGCGCUUCACCUCCUUGGCUUUGGCUUUCUUCUCUUCUGGGUCCGCUCCCUGGGGCCCGAGGAGCGACAUGCGUCGUUCUUCAGCCUUGGCGCAUUUGCUUGCCAAGUUGAACAUCUCCAGUGCGGUGCUCAUUUCAUCAUUCAUGACGAGCUCCUCCUUCAUCUUGAGGUCGGUGACUCUGUCGGAGAAAACCGAGAUGACGGCUUCGUCCGACGCCUUGGGGAUCUUGAGGCGCAUGAUUGUGAAGCGAUGUAUGAACUUGUGCAUGGGCUCUCCCUCCUGCUGCUUGACGUGCCGCAAAUCAUUCACGAUGGGGGCGCGGUCGUGGGUGCCCUGGAAGUUGGCGAUGAAGCGCUCGCGCAGGCCAUCCCAGGAGGUGAUGGACGCCCUUAGGAUGUUGAGGAGCCAAGAGAGUGCGCUACCCUUGAGCGCCAUGGGGAACCAACACGACAUGAUUUUUUCGCCUCCUCCCGCCGCCCUAAUGCUCAGUGUGUAGAGUUGGAGGAACUCAGUCGAGUCUUGGGUGUCGUCGUAACGCGGGGGCAGGUCGGGCUUGAACUUGUAGGGCCGCGCAGCGGGUAGAGCUCGGGGGCGAUAACGAGGCACCCCACCAGUCCAACGGGUACGGUACGCGCGGGGGCCGACGUGUCUUGUUGCUCCAAGGGGUGUGCUUCGAGCGGGGCGUAAUCACGAUGCAGAAUUUGCAGCACCAGGAGCGCACAUACAUCGGCGCGGGCACUGGGGAUCAUCUCGCAGCUUGCUUCAUCUCCGGGCCCCACCCUGGGUUCACGGGGUCGGGCGCGGGCUCGCGCUUCCUGCUUGGGCUCGGGGUCCGGGACACGCUGCGGGGGUGGGGGCGGCGCAUCUUGUUCCUCGUUGUUCACCAGGUACGGCUAUGGUCAGAGCAAGGAGGAGAGCGCCGCUGAGUCGUCGACGGCAGCGAUGAGCUCCUCGAUGUGCUGGAGCCAGUCGUCGUGGCGGUGAGGAGCAAGCCGGUAACGGAGCAACCGUGUGGCCAUGACAAGCGCGCGCCGGACGCGAGGCAUCUCUGGCCGGGCAUGCUAUGCCGAUCACGAAGGCCUAGCAAGUGAUGGAGUGGAGGUGCGACAGUCGACUGGCUUGGUCACCGGCUGGGAGGAGCCUUGUUGCUCUUGAACUUCGGGCCGGUGGCAGCGCUCACCACGGGUGACGGCGACCGAUGCAUGCCGAUGGCACCAACGGGCACGGUCUGGGCGAUGCGGGUGGCGCGACGCUCUACGCGAACCCAGCGAGUGUCAGCCAUCGGAGCCGUGGAGCUUGGUGAAGAUGGAGCUUGGAGGAAACCUCGACACACCCCUACCUGGCAUGCCAGAUGUCGGAUUUCGGUCUCCGCAAAACCCUAAGGAUUCAAACAUUGGGGCAUGUGCGAAGGUCUCUCCCUGCUUAGCUUCGCCUAGCCCACUACUCGAAAGAAAAGACGUAGGACUCACUCGAUGGCGAGGGUAGCACAGAACACAACAGUUUACCCAGGUUCUGGCCGCUGCGAAGCGUAAAACCCUACUCCUGCUUUUGGUGGAUUGCCUCUCAAGGAGGUGGUGGAUGAGCUAGUACAGUGCUAUCGAGCCUCUAGAGGCCAAGAAGCUAGGUGUAUUGGUAUACGGAAAGACCGCACUUCCUCUACCAAGUGUUCUACCCUCUCUAUUUAUAGCGGAGGCCUGGGUCGUCUUCCCUCAUAGCUUCGGCGGGAAGGGAUCCCGCAGUGGCCAAUUUUGAAGGCGAACAUGGGAACAUGCUCCCCUGCCCAAAGGCGGUCUUCGCGUGCAAAGUAACUGUCCGCACUGCAGGGUUGGGCCCGAGGGUGAAGUUUUCCCUACUUGCGGGCGGCGGCGGCUUCAUUGCACCAGAAGGGAAACCUUUGGAAGAUGCUUUUGGAACCCAUGUACGCUCCUGCCUCCGUUGCACUAAAGGGGAAACUGCUCUGUCCUGCCAACUGUUGCUCGCUCGUCCUUUAUUGGCGUCACCCUUGACUCCUGAGGCCCGGCCUUGCCUCGGAAUAUCCACCUCUCUGGAGGGGUCCUGAGGAGGCCCCCUACGGGUCUCGACGCUCCUCCUCCUCGUGAGGCUUGGCCCCUCAUGAGGGCCUUACCCUGAACGGUGCCAGGCCCGUUGGUUUGUUCUGAUGAGGUGGGCCCGCCCUGGGCCACAGGUAGGCAGGUCUGAGUACCCCCAUUCCUAGAACGCCGACAACGGGCGCUGUCUUAGCAACGCGGGUCAGAAAGCAAACAUUUGAGCGGCAAGAGUUCAUUGCCGAGGAAACCAAGAACCUGGGAGCAGGAGGCCUGGCGAGAGGCAUCCUCCACCCAACAUGAUUGUAAAACCCUGUGGUAGUGAGUACGGGGAAUGGGAAGUGGAGACUUCCCAUCUACUUAACUCAUGUCAACAAGGCUUGCCCAAAGGACCCCUUCCCGUUGCCAUGCAUCGAUCAGAUAGUGGACGUGACCGCUCGCUGCGACCGUGUGUCCUUCCUUGACUCCUACUCCAUGUGGUACGUACUGUUUCAAGCGCAUGCCAUUUUGACUAAAGAGCGCAGGAUCAACCUUCAUGAGUGUUGUCCAAAUCGGUCUUGGCCCACAGCUGCACAGAAAUGUAGAAGCCUACAUGUACGACAUUAUGGUUAAGACCAAGGAUGAAGCCAUGCUAGUUGAAGACCCUAUAGAAACCUUUGCUAAUCUGCGCAAGAUCAACUUGAAGCUCGACUCCGAGAAAUGCAUGUUUGGAGUGCCAUCUGGCAAGCCCCUCGGUUUCUUUGUGUCACAACACGGGAUAGAAGCAAACCCCGCCAAGAUUGGAGAUAUUGAACAGUUGGAAGCUCCAAAGCAUGCAAAGGACACGUGCCAACUUGCGGGCUCCAUCGUUGCCCUCAGCACAUUCAUAUCCAAGUCUGCGGAACUCGCCCUGCCAUUUUUCAAGAUCUUGAAAAACGCAGGUCCUUUGAAAUGGACUCUUGAGGUGAAGGUUGCGCUGCAAGACUUGAAGAAGUACCUUUCAUGUCCACCAACAGUAGUUGCACCCAAACCAGAGCAACCGUUGUUGUAUAUCUGGCGGCAACGAACCAAGUGGUUAGUGUUGUGCUAGUGGUGAAGAGGGAAGGUGAGAAAGAUAAGGCAAUAACCCUUGAGUUUGUGAACGGCAAGACAGGGCCACCCCUGGAAAGCCAAGAAGUUGUAGGUAAGGAUGUAAUGCCCAAGAUGUGAUCCAAUCCUUAUUUUGGCACAAGGGCCUCGACAGGGAUAGAAGUGCAUCUCGUUGUUUCGCAAGAAUGGAUAUCGUUACAUGUACAUUUAUAGAAGAGAAAAGUAUAUGAAAAUGGCUUACACUCGCCACAAGGUACAACAUAGACAACACAAUAUAACAAUAUAUUCAAUCACCAUGUAGAAGAGUAGGGUCCGAAUAUGGACGAAAAGAAACGAUAAAAGAACGACGUCCAUCCUUGCUAUCCCACACUGUCGUCCUGGAACCCAUCCUAGAUCGAUGAAGAAGAAGAAGAAGAGGAAACUCCAAAUAUCACAAUCAUCACGCUCACGUCAAAGUAUUGCUUUACUUGUACCUACAACUGUUUUUGUAGUAAUCUAUGAGCCACAAGGACUCAUCAAUCUCAAUUCCAAAGGUAUCAAGACUAGCAAAGUUUAAUGGGUGAGAUAUGGUUAAGUGGUGAGGAUGCAACAAACAACUAAGCUUUUUUUGAGUGGCUAACUUACGAGUACGAGAUUAAAACGUGGGGAUCAUAAAUGCAUAUCGGACGAGAACUAAUAGUGAUCACGAACUGAUAUUGAACACCUACUUACGUCAAACAUAGCCCCAUUGUGUCCUCUUCCGAAUAAAGAACUCCGAGAAGAGACAGUCAUGGCUACGCACACAAUUGGCAAUUUAAUUGACUUUACUUCAAGUUAUCUAGAACCGGGUGUUAAAUAAAGUUUCCAAGUUGCCACAUAAUCGUGGGCACGGCUUUCCGAAAGAUUUAAUCCUUCAGGUGUGCUCCAACUAGUCCAUCACAAACUACUACACGCUGCAUCAAAAACCUCGUCAGCGGAAAACCCAUGAUCUCCUCAGAUUCCUGGUGGAAAACCUUAACCUCGAGAUAGCCCAAAGUAUCCACGCAAACCUCGCACAAGACGUUCGAGAAAGGUAAAACAAAUCCAGCAAGGCCGCACGACAUGUCGAAGAUCCCAAUAGGAGCCGCAUAUGUUCUUCUUCGGACACGACGGAUAAGCGAUGCGUACGGGUGCGUGAUAGAAAUCACCCAAGUUUCCCUAGGUUGGCCCCGCAUAGUGCUCUAGUUUGGACCAACACUCAUGACGAGCACUAGCCCAGGGGUUGAUUAAUUAUCCACGAGUUAAUUACUGGCUAUGCGGUUCAUUAGUUAUUAGGCAAAUAUGGUACCAAUGUUGGGCCUUGCCAGCCAAGUUUUAUCCCAAAACUAAAAUCAAGGGGGUCCCCAUAACAACCCCAAGCAUGUUAGGAGCGCUCAUUUAUGGAACAUAACACCGGUAGCCGAAACUAAGGCAGCAAAGGUGGAACAAAACACCAGGCUAGAAGGCCAAGCCUUCAACCUUUUACCAAAUAUAUAGGUGCAUUAAAUUAAUUAGCAAUAAUAUGAUGAUAUAACAAGGAACCCAUGUUUUCACAUGGAAGCAACUGCACCUGGAACUAGCAAUGCUAUAAGAAGGCUGAGUGAGCUGUAACAUAGCCAAACAAGGGUUUGCUUGGCUGUGGCAGGGUUAGAGGAUUUUCAUGGCAAUGUUGGGAGGCUGCAUUUAUGUGGGGGCAGCAAGACAUAGCGAAAGAAACGAGACAACUAGCAUGGCAAUGAUAGUAAUGGUAACUAGAGAAAUGAUCAUCUUUCCUGUGAUCCCGCUAGGAAGAAGAACGAAUCCGCGAAGCAAACGAACCAACAGAGUCGAACGAAUCCUUAAGUUCCGACACGCUUGCGGAACUCUAUCGAAAAGAAGCAAUCUGAAAACAAGAAUCAACACACGAUAUUCACCACAACGUAUGGAUGCCAUGAUGAACAAACACAUAUGAUGCAUGUCUAGUUUAAUUAUGCAAGGCAUGGCACCUCACAACAAUCGAAUACUACACAUUAAGUGAAGCUCAAUAUGCAACGAGUUGCAUAUUAACAAAACUUCAUGUUCAUAUAUUUAGUUCACUCUAUUUUAGGUACUCAUCAAUAUUAAAUGUUGUCUAAACAUUACAAGAGGUGAAGCACAAAUAAUCUACACUAUCUAGGCAUUUUAAGUGAGGUCGGAAACAACAUAUAGCAUCUCCAAAAUGACUCCAUGUGCUAAUUUAAAAAUCUGCCCAGAUCUAUACUACAGAUUUUAUAUUUGUUAAACAACAAAGUAAAGUGGGCCAUGUGAUUCUACUUGUCAUUCCAGUCGAUUUACAUAUAUCGAUCAUCUAAAACGGAGCUACAAUUUAAAAGAUAUGAGCAACACAAGAUAAUAUGGCAUGCAUGCAAAACGUAUGCAAAUGACAGCCACAAUAUAUUAAAACUUGGAUGCACAAGAUAUUAUGAAACUACCUAAAAUUCUAAGCAAGUUUAAAUGAGGCCGGAACAACAAAUAACAAUUCCGGAAAGUCCCCAGAUUUCGAAUUUGCUACAGAUCUGCCUAAGCACAAUUUUAGAGUUGUUAAACAGGAAAAUAAAUCCUACCAUGUUAUUCUGCACAUUUUUCUACCGAAGUUAUAUAUGUGGAUCAUUUUAAUCUGAGCUACAGUUGAUUAAUUAUGAGACAAACCGUUCUAACACGGCAUCAGCCCAAAUUAAAUUAAAACAAGAAUUUAUACAUUUUGAACACAUGUGAGAGUUUGAUAUUGUGAAACUACACAAAAUUGUAAGCACUUUUCAUGUAUGAAGUUUUAAAUCCGAUGCACGGUUAAUUUGCUAUGAAUUAAAUCGUUUUAAAUAUGGCAUCACGCAAAAAAUGCAAACAUCACUUUUAAACAGUUUUAACAUGCGUGAAAGUGGAAUAUUAUGAAUCCACACAAAAUUCUGGACAUCUCACAUAUAUAAUUUAUUUUCAUCCGAUGCAUGAUUAAAUAAUUAUUAUUAUUUUUUGGACAUAUGCACUUUUCUGAAAUUAUAAAAUGUCAUGAGAAAUAGCUAAAUUCAUGGGAGCAGGAAAACAAAUGUAUACAUGCUGAAUUUGACUGAACUAGGCCAACACAGAGCUAGGCACAAUAUAACAAAUGUCACACUAGGCGACAUACACGCAAGGGGGGGGGAGCUCACCAAGUGGUCUUAGCCUAGGUUGAGGCACAGGACCGACUGGGCCGGCUGGGGCGACUGCUGGGCCUGGCGCGUGGAGAGGCAGCCCAGCCGACGCGGAGAAUUCCACACACGGGGGCCGGGGUCAUGGACGUUGACCUCGCCUCCUCGAUCUCGAGCAGCCUAUGCGCAGCGGCGGUGGGACUCGCCCAGAUCUCGGUCGGGGCUCUAACGAGUGGAGGUGGCCGGAGGAGGCUCAUCCGGGGGCGUUGCCUCAGAUCUCCACGUAUCCUCGCGGCAACGGCAACGUAAGGCGAGCCUCGCGGGCUGGGAUGGCAUGAGCAACUGGCGGGGGGCUUAGGUCGCAGCUGAGCUGCGUGUGAGGCGCAGCGAGCGGUAGUGGGGUGCAGGGCCCGAAGCGGCGGAUUUUUGUCGGCGGGCUAUUGGAGGGGAGCGUGAGGGGAGGCUGCUUGGCGAGCUCACGACGCGGCAGCGAUGAGACUGGUAGUGGGGAGGCACAGCACGUGGGUGCGGUGCACCGCGACGGCCAAACCGGGCCUCGGAAGGCUGCGCCUCGGCCUCGGCGAGCCGGGGCUAGCUGAGGUGGGGAGCGGCUAGUUGGCUGAUUCGGAUUGCCGUGGCCAUCCGAUCUAGCCACGGGCGGCCCUGAUCGUGCGUUGGCGAGCUGGUGGUUGUGGUUAGCUCAGGUGGCGGCUACGUAGUGGAGGGACAACA
rnacentral:lncRNA from 1 species